rnacentral:rRNA from 1 species
GAAUAUUGGUCAAUGAGCGGAAGCUUGAACCAGCCAUGCCGCGUGCAGGACGACUGCCCUAUGGGUUGUAAACUGCUUUUAUACGGGAAUAAACCCCUCUACGUGUAGGGGGCUGAAUGUACUGUAAGAAUAAGGAUCGACUAACUCCGUGCCAGCAGCCGCGGUAAUACGGAGGAUCCAAGCGUUAUCCGGAAUCAUUGGGUUUAAAGGGUCCGUAGGCGGGACAAUAAGUCAGUGGUGAAAGUCUGCAGCUUAACUGUAGAAUUGCCGUUGAAACUGUUGUUCUUGAGUAAUUAUGAAGUGGUUAGAAUAUGUAGUGUAGCGGUGAAAUGCAUAGAUAUUACAUAGAAUACCGAUUGCGAAGGCAGAUCACUAAUAAUUCACUGACGCUGAUGGACGAAAGCGUAGGUAGCGAAC